UUUGGCGCAUCCUUUGAGCGUUAGGCGGUUCAGUCAGUAUUCAGUAAGCUAAGCUGUACUCAUCACGAGCACACGUCGUUCCUCUCGUAUUAUUUCUUGAAAAUAUGGAGUGAACGACAACGAAGACAAAGAAAAAACUUUGUAUCUCGAACUGCAUUUUUCUAAAACAGACCAAAACCAGUGUUGUGGUACCCAGCUCAUCCCGAGCAUCAAAACAUACAGGUACCAGGAAAGGUGCUGAAGAUAAUAUAUACCAUAGUACUUGGUUUGCAUACAAAGCUACGAUAUUUCUACUGGAUUGAAAUCGUGAACGAAAUAGUGAAUCG